rnacentral:lncRNA from 1 species
ACAAAUGCACUAAUCAAAUUCUCUAAUGUUCUCUCAUUUUUUUAAGUUUGAUAUUGAUAUUUUGUAUUUAUUUUAUAACACGUUAUCAGCACGAGACUCUAGCGUCUCAAAAUUUGAAGGCUAAGAAAUGAAAAUUGAAUCAAAAGGUGAAAAAGGCAAGACCGCAAGAACUAUGUGAUCAUCACGACUUGAAUUUUACUUUUCUACUAUUUAUGAUAAGAUAAGUAUAUUAUUAACUCAUUUUUUUUUAAAUUUAGUUUGAAAAGAGUAUUGAUCGUCACAAAGUGGUGAUAUUGUUAUAGGCUUAAGUUUGAAUUUAUUAUACUUUGGCCUAAUAUGUUAUUGACCGAGGGUGUGAUGAUAGAUUUAAAUCUCAUGCCAUUAAGAGGGUAAGACAUUGGGUUAAGAGUCUCGAUGCACUAUGAUGAUAAGAUAUUGGGUUUAAGUCCCAUUGAUUUUUGGCCUAAGACGCCUUUAUAUAGAUAAGACAUUGAGUUUGAAUCUCAAUGCACCAUAUUGAUGAUAUAAUAAUGACUAAGUCAAAAUUUUGUUGAAAAGUCAUGACAUAUGUCCCAUAGAAUAUGCUCCAUUCCCUGAAGUGAAUGUAGUAGCAUACAGUGCACAGUAUGUUUGAAAGAAGACAUGUGAUUGAGUUUAUGAAUAUGAAUAUAGGUGUAACAAGGACAAGAUCUUUCGUUACAUUAUAUGCAUGCCUCG